rnacentral:rRNA from 1 species
CCUACGGGUGGCAGCAGUGAGGAAUAUUGGUCAAUGGACGCAAGUCUGAACCAGCCAUGCCGCGUGCAGGAAGACGGCUCUAUGAGUUGUAAACUGCUUUUGUACGAGGGUAAAUCCCGAUACGUGUAUCGGGUUGAAAGUAUCGUACGAAUAAGGAUCGGCUAACUCCGUGCCAGCAGCCGCGGUAAUACGGAGGAUUCAAGCGUUAUCCGGAUUUAUUGGGUUUAAAGGGUGCGUAGGCGGUUCGAUAAGUUAGAGGUGAAAUCCCGGGGCUCAACUCCGGCACUGCCUCUGAUACUGUCGGGCUAGAGUUUAGUUGCGGUAGGCGGAAUGUAUGGUGUAGCGGUGAAAUGCAUAGAGAUCAUACAGAACACCGAUUGCGAAGGCAGCUUACCAAACUACGACUGACGUUGAGGCACGAAAGCGUGGGGAGCAAACAGGAUUAGAUACCCCAGUAGUC